AAUGUAGAGAUUGAUCAAAAU
rnacentral:miRNA from 1 species